rnacentral:tRNA from 1 species
CGCGGGGUGGAGCAGCGGCAGCUCGCCGGGCUCAUAACCCGGAGGUCGUGGGUUCGAGUCCCACCCCCGCUACCG